rnacentral:rRNA from 1 species
CACGUAGGGGGCGAGCGUUGUCCGGAUUUAUUGGGCGUAAAGAGCUCGUAGGCGGCUCGGUAAGUCGGGUGUGAAAACUGGAGGCUCAACCUUCAGAGGUCGACCGAAACCCCCUGGCUAGAGUCCGGGAGAGGAGAGUGGAAUUCCUGGUGUAGCGGUGAAAUGCGCAGAUAUCAGGAAGAACACCCGUGGCGAAAGCGGCUCUCUGGAACGGUACUGACGCUGAGACGCGAAAGCGUGGGGAGCGAACAGG